rnacentral:rRNA from 1 species
GACGAACGCUGGCGGCGUGCCUAAUACAUGCAAGUCGAACGCAGUGGGGACGGGUGAGUAACACGUGGGUAACCUCCCAUCAGAGGGGAUAACACUUGGAUACAGGUGCUAAACCGAUACGGAUUGAUGAACCCGCGGUGGAUUAGCUAGUUGGUGAGGUAACGGCUCACCAAGGCCACGAUGCAUAGCUGGCCGGAGAGGGUGAUCGGCCACACUGGGACUGAGACACGGCCCAGACUCCUACGGGAGGCAGCAGUGGGGAAUCUUCGGCAAUGGACGAAAGUCUGACCGAGCAACGCCGCGUGAGUGAAGAAGGUUUUCGGAUCGUAAAGCUCUGUUGUUGGAGAAGCGGUAUCUAAACAGAAAGCAACGGCUAACUACGUGCCAGCCGCCGCGGUAAUAC